rnacentral:lncRNA from 1 species
UAUGUCUUUCCUCAGAUCAUUCUCUUGCCCUUCUAUCCUUAGCCUAAAUCUUUCUGGAUAUUUAAAGUUUUUAUCAAUCACUGCACAUAUCCUGAGGGGCGGAGGAAUAUUUUAUUUGGGUGUGUUUCCUUCAUAGCUUCUGCGAAGAUCGGUAUACCCAUUAAGCUUCUUGCUAUGCGGCUAACUGCCUCAUCGCUCCACAUUAUCACCGGGACGUUAUGCAGAAUGGAUUCUUGCGGUAUUGUGUUUAAUUGGUCCUCAUACGUGUUAUCUCCUUUGUUCCAUUUCUUCACAGUGACCACAUCUAAACCAAAAUGAU